GACGAACGCUGGCGGCGUGCUUAACACAUGCAAGUCGAACGGAAAGGCCCUGCUUUUGUGGGGUGCUCGAGUGGCGAACGGGUGAGUAACACGUGAGUAACCUGCCCUUGACUUUGGGAUAACUUCAGGCAACUGGGGCUCAUACCGGAUAGGAGCUCCUGCUGCAUGGUGGGGGUUGGAAAGUUUCGGCGGUUGGGGAUGGACUCGCGGCUUAUCAGCUUGUUGGUGGGGUAGUGGCUUACCAAGGCUUUGACGGGUAGCCGGCCUGAGAGGGUGACCGGCCACAUUGGGACUGAGAUACGGCCCAGACUCCUACGGGAGGCAGAAGUGGGGAAUAGUGCACAAUGGGCGGAAGCCUGAUGCAGCAACGCCGCGUGCGGGAUGACGGCCUUCGGGUUGUAAACCGCUUUCGCCUGUGACGAAGCGUGAGUGACGGUAAUGGGUAAAGAAGCACCGGCUAACUACGUG
rnacentral:rRNA from 1 species